rnacentral:rRNA from 1 species
GAUGAACGCUGGCGGCGUGCCUAGUACAUGCCAGUCGAGCGAGCAGACGAGGAGCUUGCUCCUCUGACGUUAGCGGCGGACGGGUGAGUAACACGUGGAUAACCUACCUAUAAGACUGGGAUAACUUCGGGAAACCGGAGCUAAUACCGGAUAAUAUAUUGAACCGCAUGGUUCAAUAGUGAAAGACGGUUUUGCUGUCACUUAUAGAUGGAUCCGCGCCGCAUUAGCUAGUUGGUAAGGUAACGGCUUACCAAGGCGACGAUGCGUAGCCGACCUGAGAGGGUGAUCGGCCACACUGGAACUGAGACACGGUCCAGACUCCUACGGGAGGCAGCAGUAGGGAAUCUUCCGCAAUGGGCGAAAGCCUGACGGAGCAACGCCGCGUGAGUGAUGAAGGUCUUCGGAUCGUAAAACUCUGUUAUUAGGGAAGAACAAAUGUGUAAGUAACUAUGCACGUCUUGACGGUACCUAAUCAGAAAGCCACGGCUAACUACGUG